AUUGAACGCUGGCGGCCGGCCUAACACAUGCAAGUCGAACGAGCGGCGGACGGGUGAGUAAUGUCUGGUAAACUGCCUGAUGGAGGGGGAUCACUACUGGAAACGGUAGCUAAUACCGCAUCCCAUCCGAUUUGCCCAGAUGGGAUUAGCUAGUAGGUGGGGUAAUUGCUCACCUGGGCGACGAUCCCUAGCUGGUCUGAGAGGAUGACCAGCAACACUGGAAGUGAGCAACGGUCAAGACUCAAACGGGAGGAAGAAGUGGGGAAGAUUGCACAAGGGACGCAAGCCUGAUGAAGCCAUGCCGCGGGGGUGGAGAAGGCCUUCGGGUUGUAAGGCAAGUUAAGCGAGGAGGCGGUACUCGAAGAAGAAGCAACGGAUAACUCCGUGCCAGCAGCCGCGGUAAUUC
rnacentral:rRNA from 1 species